AUACUUACUUGGCGUCGGAGUAGCUCUGAUCAAGGAGGGAGCUCUCCUGGUUGGAGGCCUACCAUUGCACUACGGUAGGCUGACGACUGCCACUUCCGCAAAUUGCGGUUGGUUGGGGCGCACAAUUUUUGGUAGUCGGGGACUGCGUUCGCGCUGAUCCCUG
rnacentral:snRNA from 1 species